UCCCUAAUGGCUAAGAUGAUAAAGCAUCUGCCUACAAUGCAGGAGACCCAGGUUCGAUCCAUGGGUUGGAAA
rnacentral:tRNA from 1 species